ensembl:lncRNA
CAACUUUUACAGCCUAUUCAGAAGAAGCCAUUUAUUUAACGGAAAGAUUUGUCUACAGCAUUUUGUGCUCUGUGUUUUAUACAUCAAGUGCAAAAUUAUCCUUUCGAAGAAUAAGGCUCCUUUCAACAAGAGAGAAAUCCUGAAGGAACCGUGCAGACUGUGCUCUGGGGAAGUUCAACCUUCAGGAUCACUAUGACCCCUUCACAAAGGAAAAAAGAUGAGAAGGGCCAUGUCUAGCAUCAAGGACACCUGGACCAAUCAAGGAAUCUAGGUGCUCUGUGAUCUUCUACUGGUCUAAAUUAUUUGGGUUUGAAAUGAACUUCACACAGUGCUACAAGGAAAAGGGAAUGUUCAGCAGAGCAAAUAAUUGAGAUCCUGCAAUGGAGAUGACAGCUAUUUGGAGACUCCUGCUGGGAUGCCAGCAGUAUCCACUGGGACACACACUGAGAUCCAUUGGCCAAGCUGUUUCCCUCCACGUGGGCUGAAUACCCAGUGCUGGCAAGAGGCAUUUGUGCUGCUAAGGUUCUUGACAAAAAAGCCACUGAAGAGCUGAGAUGGAAAAAUCCUACCAGAAGUGGGUUCAGCUUUCUGUCAUUCCUAAAAGACUUGACCAUACCAGAAGAAAAUUUAUAAUAAGCAAAAGUCAGAAUUUAAAAAGCCUUUCCUUUCUCUUCAUCCCUUCCACUUAGUGCAAGAAGAUUUAUUGCUUACCAUAUACCCUUUCAAGACUACUUUCAUGGAAGUGCAAGUCUAGUAAAGUAAAAGACUGUUGCAUUUAAAAUUCACCCACAUUCAGUUCUUGAAGUCCAUGGAAAAACUGCCCCUGAACUUGAAGGUUUGGGUGGGAAGUUAUCAGGUUCUCAGUGUUCAGCCCUGUCCAAUAGUAUCGCUUCCAUAUGGCAACAUAUGGUUCAACCACCUCACGCCAGUGGCUCCAUCUGAUUUCCACAUCAGAGGAGUGUAUAAAUUAUGGAGCUGCAUAGGACUCAAUAAUGAAGUUUCUUAGCAGUGCUGGUUGAGGAAAUGGAGAAAGCGUUCAAGGAUGCUUUGGGAUUCCUCUGUGCUAAACACUGAUAUUUGCUGCCAAAGUCAG